rnacentral:tRNA from 2 species
CGGGGCGUGGCGAAGUUUGGUAUCGCGCUUGGUUCGGGACCAAGAGGCCGCUGGUUCAAGUCCAGUCGCUCCGACCA